rnacentral:rRNA from 1 species
UACGAACUGUGCAAACGUUAUUCGGAUUCACUGGGCUUAAAGGGUGCGUAGGCGGCCAUGUAAGUAGGGUGUGAAAUCCCCCGGCUUAACCGGGGAACUGCGCCCUAAACUGUGUGGCUUGAGUGAGAUAGGGGUGUGUGGAACUUCCGGUGGAGCGGUGAAAUGCGCAGAUAUCAGGAGGAACACCCGUAGCGAAGGCGGCACUCUGGGCCGAUACUGACGCUGAGGAGCGAAAGCGUGGGGAGCGAACAGG